rnacentral:snRNA from 1 species
AUACUUACCUGGCAGGGGAGAUACCAUGAUCACGAAGGUGGUUUUCCCAGGGUGAGGCUUGUCCAUUGCACUCUGGACGUGCUGACCCCUGCGAUUUCCCCAAAUGUGGGAAACUCAACUGCAUAAUUUGUGGUAGUGGGGGACUGCGUUCAUGCUCUCCUCUG